CCGUGUUUGAUUUCAUUGCCUUGGGACCAUUUUAGCACUAUUCGAUAACUUGGAAGUUCAGGAAAAUCCAUCACUUGAUCACUCUAUAGUAGUCCCUAUCUCUUUGAAAUUUGGAUGAAUUGAGCAUAAUCUUAUAUACUUGAACUUAUUCUGGACUUAAUUUAUCUCACUUAGGGGCUUGAGAAUCAUGUAAUGGAUCAUACAUUCAGAGUUUUGUUCGCAUCAUUUUUACCACUCUUUGCUAACUCUGAAUGGCUAGACUCAUUUUUAGUCUAGUACCGCACCUGUUUCCCCACCCAUUGUUUGAAACCUCAUGCAUUCUUAUAUGAUCAUCAUGAUAUGCAUCCAUGUGCGAAAACUACGGAGUAUACGGACCGACAUAGCUUUCCUUUUGUUAGGAUAGUGAGUUGUAGUUUACUGGUUGUCGAUAUGUGAUGAGAUUGAGCCAUUGUGGUUUAGAGGCUAUAUUCAUGGGCAUAUGCUGCUGUUUGCGAUUUCUCUUGAUGCAGAUUUUUGUGAGACACCGGUUCCACUCCCCCGUUUCUUUUCCAAAAAAAAAAAAAAAAAAAAAAAAAAACGAAAAUAAAAAGAAAGAGCGGGAAAGGAGAGUGAUUGGAACCGGAAAUGUCAGGUUAUUUUUAGUCAUAUUCAUAAGCAUCAAUGGUACUUAAUGUUUCGAUCGGGGUCAUGUUGGUUAGUUUGAUCCGAGCUUAAGGGAAGCUACGCACCCUCCCGAGUUAGGCNNNNNNNNNNNNNNNNNNNNNNNNNNNNNNNNNNNNNNNNNNNNNNNNNNNNNNNNNNNNNNNNNNNNNNNNNNNNNNNNNNNNNNNNNNNNNNNNNNNNGCAUAAUGACAUGCAUCCGUUUACACUGUUUGAGAACCCGAAACACUUAGAGCCACCAAAUAUUAGCCUUUUUACCAAGCCUAUAACGUGUUCGAUACCCCCUUUGUGAGAAUACACGCCACUGCUAAUAAAUGUUAAAAGGUUAAGUUAUCUGAUUCUGAAAGUUCUUUUAGAUCUCGGGACUUGAUUUUGUUGCUACGGUUAUGGCGAAGUACAGUCUAGUACGGUUUGAUGAGUUUUGUGAUAGUGGUUUGCAGGCAAUUGAUAAGAUCAUGAUCCCGAAGAAAAUGUGAGUUCUCGUGUUUUCAAACCUCUUCACUUGAUAAGGAUUUCUGCUUUCCUUGAGGACAAGCAAAGAUCUAAGUCGGGGGGAGUUGAUAUGUUGUGUUUUUAUCGGUUUUGAGUCUUUGUUUUCUUUCCUACAUCAUAUGUUUUAUAGAGUCAAAGUGUGUUUUUAGAGUCUUUUAGUCUUUUAUCGAGUCUUUACAGGUUUUAGGUUGCUUUGGAGGAAAACGAGCUGUUUUGGGAUAUAAACACACAUUUGGAGAUGCAGUUUCGUUUAGAAGUGUCAGACGUUUAGCCUCAGAUGGAAGACUUCCCACCGUUAGAUCUUUCUGAAUUUUUGACACAGGCUAGAUGAAGAUGUUAGCUUGAUUUUCCAAGUGGUUUGACGGAACUCGAACGGUGCAUCCAAGAGUUACACCCGAAUUAGUGAAGACAGGUCAAUCUGGCGAGUAUUUGAAGCAGGUGUAGAGCUUGACCCAGGAGCUUCUGGAUCGAUCGAUCCCAGGAGGGGAUCGAUCGAUCCAACUCUCGUCUGUCAAAGAAAAAUCAUCCGCCAGCUCGGGAUCGAUCGAUCCCCACCUGGGAUCGAUCGAUCCCUUCCCCAGACGUAUUUUUGGCCCAGAUUUGACCCGAGUCACUCCAGAUCCGACCCGGCUCGUCUCCUAUUGUUUUAAAACCCUAAUCUCGACUUUUGAGACAUUAUCCUUGAUAUUUUUCACUUCUAAACUUGGUUCUUUGGUUUGAAAACAAUUUUGGGCAAAGGAAUCCAUCCUCUUGACACUUGGAGAAGAUUUCUAAACCCUAUUCCUUUUCUAUUUUAUUGAAUCAUGUUUUCUUUCAUAUCUAUUUGCCUUUUCUCUUUCUCUAUGUGUGAGUAGUUCUCCAAUUGGGUUUUAGGGUUCCAAUUAGGAGAUUCAAUGGAUUAAUGGAUUGAUUGUGUUAGGAAUUCUCAUUCUCUAGGUUCUUUGAUUCACAUGUUCUUAAUGCUAGAAUAGGAUUGAUCACCCUGUUGUAGAUUCUAGGUUUUUCUAUGCAUCAAAAGUGUUCGAUAGAAUGCCUGAAAGAAUGUGGAUUGAGCAAUGUAUUUCUAGCCAACGAAAGUUGACGUUAGGACGCAUUGUGAACUUAAUGAACUUGUUUGGUAAUGCGAAUUUGACUAGGAAAUUGCAUGCGAAAGUUUAGUAAUCGAAUAGUCAAAUUUAGUGAUUAAUGUCUUGAAAGAGAAUUGGUUUAAAUGUGUUCAUGUUCGAGAACGGUUCUUAAUUACUGAAUUCCUGGUUUCAUGUUUCCAUUAUUCGUUGAUCUCUGAAAUACCCUAACGCCCAAUGUCUUUAAAUCUUGAAGUUAAAUCGUCUAUUUUAAUUGCAUUUUUAUUUACAAUUCCGAAAACCCAAAACAAAACAACCUUUUAGCUUUAGCUAAGAACGAGUCUCGGAAAUCUUUAGUGUACCAUUGGUUCUUGUGGAUCGACCCCGUAUAUACUACCUUGCGGUUAAGUGUAUCGGGUAAUUACUCGAGCAAUCAAGUUAGGCUGCCACUUGUCUACUAAUCUAGUUUGCAUUUUUGAUGUUUCCUUGAGUCAUUUUGAUGUUUUUCUUUUUGAGUCAUCGAGUCUAUUUUAUCGAGUCAAAAUUGUGUCUUUUAUUGAGUCAAAAUGUUGUCUGAGAUCUAUGAUCUUUUCUUAAGGAAUUGCACCGUGUUUGAUUUCAUUGCCUUGGGACCAUUUUAGCACUAUUCGAUAACUUGGAAGUUCAGGAAAAUCCAUCACUUGAUCACUCUAUAGUAGUCCCUAUCUCUUUGAAAUUUGGAUGAAUUGAGCUUAAUCUUAUAUACUUGAACUUAAUCUGGACUUAAUUUAUCUCACUUAGGGGCUUGAGAAUCAUGUAAUGGAUCAUACAUUCAGAGUUUUGUUCGCAUCAUUUUUACCUCUCUUUGCUAACUCUGAAUGGCUAGACUCAUUUUUAGUCUAGUACCGCACCUGUUUCCCCACCCAUUGUUUGAAACCUCAUGCAUUCUUAUAUGAUCAUCAUGAUAUGCAUCCAUGUGCGAAAACUACGGAGUAUACGGACCGACAUAGCUUUCCUUUUGUUAGGAUAGUGAGUUGUAGUUUACUGGUUGUCGAUAUGUGAUGAGAUUGAGCCAUUGUGGUUUAGAGACUAUAUUCAUGGGCAUAUGCUGAUGUUUGCGAUUUCUCUUGAUGCAGAUUUUUGUGAGACACCGGUUCCACUCCCCCGUUUCUAUUCAAAAAAAAAAAAAAAAAAAAAACGAAAAAAAAAGAAAGAGCGGGAAAGGAGAGUGAUUGGAACCGGAAAUGU
rnacentral:lncRNA from 1 species